UACGUAGGUGGCAAGCGUUGUCCGGAUUUACUGGGCGUAAAGGGCGCGUAGGCGGCCCGCUAAGUCGAACGUGAAAUCCCCGGGCUUAACCCGGGAACUGCGUCCGAUACUGGCAGGCUUGAAUCCGGGAGAGGGAUGUGGAAUUCCAGGUGUAGCGGUGAAAUGCGUAGAUAUCUGGAGGAACACCGGUGGCGAAGGCGGCAUCCUGGACCGGUAUUGACGCUGAGGCGCGAAAGCUAGGGGAGCAAACGGG
rnacentral:rRNA from 1 species